rnacentral:rRNA from 1 species
GGGGGGGGGGGGGGGGGGGGGGGGCGGGGGGGGGUCGGGGGGGGGGGCGGGCUUGGGGGUGGGGGCGGGUGGCGGACGGGUGAGGAAUGCAUGGGGCCGAGGCCAGUAGUGGGGGAUAGCCGGGCGACAGGCGGAUUAAUCCCGCAUCCGACCUGCGGGUGCCAGCGGGGGACCGAAAUGCCUCGCGCUCUUGGUGCGACCGAUGUCGGCUUAGCUAGUUGGUUGGGCAAAGCCUUACCAAGGCGACGAUCCGUAGCUCUUCUGAGAGGACGACCAGCCAAACCGGGACUGAGACACGGCCCAGACGCCUACGGGAGGCAGCAGUGGGGAAUUUUGGACAAGGGGGGCAACCCUGAUCCAGCCAUGCCGCGUGCGGGAAGAAGGCCUUAGGGUUGUAAACCGCGUUUGUUCGGGAAGAAAUCAUCUGGGCUAAUACCCCGGGGGGAUGACGGUACCGGAAGAAGAAGCACCGGCUAACUACGUG